AAGAUCUCCACAUUCAGAGCAACACUACAACAACCUCCCUGAUCACCUGUGAGACAGUCUGCUGAAGCUGAGACUUGACGAUUUGAUCACUGAAACCAUGCUGAAGGUAGCACUUGUGCUUGGAUGCCUCCUGAGCCUCGCUUUGGCCAGUCCUAUGGAUGUGGGGCACAAACGCGUUGCUCGCUCAGACUCCAGUUCUAGUUCUGAUUCUGAUGAGGCUACCACUACCACUACCACUACGACUGCCACUACGCUGACUCAACAACAGUUACUACAGCUUCUUGCUGCCCUCCUUGCACAACUGUCUACUACUACUACUACAGCUGCAACUACAACAACAGCUGCAGCGACUACAACAACUGCAGCGACUACAACUACCGCCACCACAGCAGCUGCAACUACUGCUGGUGCUGGAAAGUAACCAGAAAUCAAUACAUAAAUGAAAACCAGUUUGGAAUGGAAAACUUGUUUUUGGCUCUGUCUCGUGUCAGUUUGUCGUAUUUUGCUGAUAAGUUGCUUCGAUUUUGUCAGCCCCAUUCCAGUUCAGUAAAACAUGUGGAUCAAAAUGUUAUAUUCUCUAUAGCAUCUAUCAAAUAAACCUCAUGAAUGAAAAAAAUA